rnacentral:rRNA from 1 species
AAUAGAUACCCCGGUAGUCCACGCCGUAAACGAUGAGUGCUAAGUGUUAGAGGGUUUCCGCCCUUUAGUGCUGCAGCUAACGCAUUAAGCACUCCGCCUGGGGAGUACGGCCGCAAGGCUGAAACUCAAAGGAAUUGACGGGGGCCCGCACAAGCGGUGGAGCAUGUGGUUUAAUUCGAAGCAACGCGAAGAACCUUACCAGGUCUUGACAUCCUCUGCCAACCCUAGAGAUAGGGCGUUCCCCUUCGGGGGACAGAGUGACAGGUGGUGCAUGGUUGUCGUCAGCUCGUGUCGUGAGAUGUUGGGUUAAGUCCCGCAACGAGCGCAACCCUUGAUCUUAGUUGCCAGCAUUCAGUUGGGCACUCUAAGGUGAUUGCCGGUGACAAACCGGAGGAAGGUGGGGAUGACGUCAAAUCAUCAUGCCCCUUAUGACCUGGGCUACACACGUGCUACAAUGGAUGGUACAAAGAGCUGCGAACCCGCGAGGGUAAGCGAAUCUCAUAAAGCCAUUCUCAGUUCGGAUUGUAGG